AACGAACGCUGGCGGCAUGCCUAACACAUACAAGUCGAACGAUCCCUUCGGGGAUAGUGGCGCACGGGUGCGUAACGCGUGGGAACCUGCCCUUAGGUUCGGAAUAACUCAGAGAAAUUUGAGCUAAUACCGGAUAAUGUCUUCGGACCAAAGAUUUAUCGCCUUUGGAUGGGCCCGCGUUGGAUUAGCUAGUUGGUGGGGUAAAGGCCUACCAAGGCGACGAUCCAUAGCUGGUCUGAGAGGAUGAUCAGCCACACUGGGACUGAGACACGGCCCAGACUCCUACGGGAGGCAGCAGUGGGGAAUAUUGGACAAUGGGCGAAAGCCUGAUCCAGCAAUGCCGCGUGAGUGAUGAAGGCCUUAGGGUUGUAAAGCUCUUUUACCCGGGAUGAUAAUGACAGUACCGGGAGAAUAAGCCCCGGCUAACUCCGUG
rnacentral:rRNA from 1 species